CAAUAGCGUAUAUUUAAGUUUGUUGCAGUUAAAAAGACUCGUAGUUGGAUUUUGGUUUAAGAGGGCGCGGUCGGCCGUUUGGUCUGUACUGCGUUGUCUUGACUUCCUGAUGAGGACAUGCUCUUGGUUAACGCUGAGACAUGGAGUCAUCGUGGUUACUUUGAAAAAUUAAGAGUGUUCAAAGCGGGCUUACGCUUGAAUAUAUUAGCAUGGAAUAACACUAUAGGACUCCUGUCCUAUCUCGUUGGUCUCGGGAUGGGAGUAAUGAUUAAGAGGAACAGUUGGGGGCGAUUCGUAUUUCAUUGUCAGAGGUGAAAUUCUUGGAUUUAUGAAAGACGAACUUCUGCGAAAGCAUUUGCCAAGGAUGUUUUCAUUAAUCAAGAACGAAAGUUGGGGGCUCGAAGACG
rnacentral:rRNA from 1 species